UUCAUAGUGAUCUUCCUCUGUUGACAGUGCAAUGGUCGUGAGGAAGACGUGUAGCUGUAGUUGCUUUUCAGAUCGUGGGUGUGGAAGGAGCCAGCGAUCAUGCCUGAAGAGCGAAGAAACUGUUGCUUCAUCUUGAACUCCAAGUGAGAAGUUUGAGUCAUUGACAAGAAACCUCUGCAACGAGCCAAAAGGUGACCAAUUAUCUGUCCAAAACCUUGCUGUAUUGCCAUUCCCUAUCCUUAGCUUGAUCCAAUUAUAGACCUCUCCCCUCAGCUUUAGUAGUUUGUUGACUAACCAUGAGUUCCGUGUGCUAGGUUGAAUCGUCCAGAAUGAGCUGAGAUUCCCAUCAAGCA
rnacentral:lncRNA from 1 species